CUAUUCCCCUCACGGAGCGACCAUUCCCAGAAUUCCCUGGGAAACUCAGAGUGGUUUUAACAGUCAGCCCCUCUUCCCAGGGAAUUCUGGGAACGGUCUUCUGUGUAAGGGGGAAU